rnacentral:rRNA from 1 species
GACGAACGCUGGCGGCGUGCUUAACACAUGCAAGUCGAACGAUGAAGCUAGAGCUUGCUCUGGUGAAUUAGUGGCGAACGGGUGAGUAACACGUGAGUAACCUGCCCCGAACUCUGGGAUAACUGCUGGAAACGGUAGCUAAUACUGGAUACGACCUACGAAGGCAUCUUCUGUAGGUGGAAAGAAUUUCGGUUCGGGAUGGACUCGCGGCCUAUCAGCUUGUUGGUGAGGUAAUGGCUCACCAAGGCGACGACGGGUAGCCGGCCUGAGAGGGUGACCGGCCACACUGGGACUGAGACACGGCCCAGACUCCUACGGGAGGCAGCAGUGGGGAAUAUUCCACAAUGGGCGCAAGCCUGAUGCAGCAACGCCGCGUGAGGGAUGACGGCCUUCGGGUUGUAAACCUCUUUUAGUAGGGAAGAAGCGAAAGUGACGGUACCUGCAGAAAAAGCACCGGCCAACUACGUGCCAGCCGCCGCAGUAA